rnacentral:rRNA from 1 species
CCUACGGGUGGCUGCAGUGGGGAAUUUUGGACAAUGGGCGCAAGCCUGAUCCAGCCAUUCCGCGUGCAGGAUGAAGGCCCUCGGGUUGUAAACUGCUUUUGUACGGAACGAAACGGCCUUUUCUAAUACAAGAGGCUAAUGACGGUACCGUAAGAAUAAGCACCGGCUAACUACGUGCCAGCAGCCGCGGUAAUACGUAGGGUGCAAGCGUUAAUCGGAAUUACUGGGCGUAAAGCGUGCGCAGGCGGUGAUGUAAGACAGAUGUGAAAUCCCCG